UGGCAAAGAUGCAAAAAAAAAUAUGGACUUACAUUAACGAGCUGCUAAAUAAGGGAGGAAAUGAAUGUAGUAGAAUAAAACUGAAUGCACAAGAAUUAAAUGAAUAUUUUGUAAAUGUGGGUAAGACUUAUGCAGAUAAAAUAGUGAAAUAUGAGAACCAAACUGAUUAUAAAUUUGAUUAUAAAAAAGAUUAUUCAAUUCUAGGAAACUCGUUUUUUUAAAACCUGUCAUAGAAGAUGAAGUGAAAAAUGUAAUAUAUAGUCUAAAAAGCAAUACUAGUCCAGGCAUAGAUAGCAUUAAUAGUAAGAUUUUGAAAAAAAUAGCGCCUUUUAUAGCUUUGAAAUUUAUAGCUUGGCCGUUAACUUUUAUAAUAAAUAAAUGCUUUGAAAGAGGAUUUUUUCCAACUUCAUUCAAGAUUGCUAAGUUAAAACCACUGUUCAAAUCAAGGGAUAGGAAACUUGCAGAAAAUUAUAGACCAAUUAGUUUAUUAAGUUCAUUGAUUAAAAUAAUGGAGAAAUUGAUAAAAAACAGAUUAUUAAGUUUUUAAACAAACACAAAAUAAUAGAAGAGAAUCAGUUUGGUUUUCAGAGUAAAAAGAGUACAAAUGAUGCCCUGAUCAAAUUCUCAAACGCGGUUUCAGAUCGUUUGAACAAAGGAAAGAAAACCCUAGCUAUCUUCCUGGACCUAGCAAAAGCUUAUGACACUGUGUCUCACGAUAAGUUUUUGGACAAAUUAGAGUGGGUUGGCAUAAGAGGAUUACCUUUGAAAUUGUUCAAGAGCUACCUGUCAAAUAAAGCACAGAUUUUAUCACUUGAUGACUCAAGCAUAGUCUACUGACAGCGAGUUGAAAAUUGAUUUACUGAGAGUAUGUGUCGAGUAGUGUUGAGUCUCGAGGAUAAACCAAAUUUUGUACUCAUCUUCUCUACUAGACUAUCACCGAUAUUGAUGGCAGAAUCACAUAAAGUCGCACAUAGUUAUUCUUCAAACACCAUUUGCCCUCACUGGCUGAAAUGGAUGUGAACGGUGAGCAGUCACUGGCUGGAAUGGAUGUGAACGGUGAGCAGUUACUGGCUGAAAUGGAUGUGAACGGUGAGCAGUCACUGGCUGAAAUGGAUGUGAACGGUGAGCAGUCACUGGCUGAAAUGGAUGUGAACGGUGAGCAGUCACUGGCUGAAAUGGAUGUGAACGGUGAGCAGUCACUGGCUGAAAUGGAUGUGAACGGUGAGCAGUCACUGGCUGGCAACAAUGCCAUAUUGAAUGGCUUAUUGAGCCAUGCCAAUGUCAUGCAUUUCUUGAUGGAAUCCAAUAACCAAACACAUGAAGAUAUUCGGAUCACUUGUCUGAUUAUCAAGAGCCAUCCUUUAAGUAACUGGGGCAUUCAGACGAAUGCAAUCUACAUCAGGGAGAAGUUCAACUACUCCCAGAAAUCUCGUCCUCGUCAAAGAACAGAAUCGACUCCACAUUGUUCACCCCAUUUGGAAACACCAACCACAUCUCACUUGAAAGAACCAGUAGUUUUUCCACUAAAUGAAGAUGAAAACAUUGAAAAUCCUGAUGAAGGCUUAUGGAGUACAUCCCUAGAAUUACCUGAUACAACUUUGCUUAAAAGCUAUAUGUGUCGAAUGCUGGAUUUUAUCAAAAUGGGGAACGAAUCAGUAUAUUUAAGCCAACUUAAUGAUGUAAUUAUGUUUAAUUAUGGAUUGAGCUUUCUAGGGCGAGUUCUGAAAAAUACAAAUCUUACUUCUUUGGCUCUUGGAGAAAAUCAUCUCACAUCUGAGUUGCUUAAUGAUUUUGCCAAGCACUUACCAGAAUCUCAUAUCAAUUCACUGGAUUUAAGUUAUAAUUUUGAUUUGAAUACUAAAUUAGGAAAAGAUAGAAUGAACUUUUUGGCUACAAUAUUGAAAGAUACUAAAAUAACAAAUCUCAAUCUUGCCGGCAAUGGCUUGAACUUGAAAUUGUUGGCUCCCAGUUUGAAAGGUACAAAAAUGAAGUCUCUUGAUUUAACUGGAUGUGGUAUACAAGAUGAUGAUUUCAAGUUCUUAGCUGAUGUUCUAAAAGACACGCAAAUCACCACACUUGACCUCAGUGAUAAUUGCUUAAAAUGUGAUAGCUUGAUGAUAUUGGCACCGUGUUUGGUAAAUACGAAGAUAAUCUCUCUUUCAUUGCAAAAUAAUAUACUUAUUGGCAUUAAUGGGUUGAAUUGUUUAGCUGCGGUUCUGAAAGACACGCAAAUCACAUCACUUGAUAUCAGUUUGAUAGAAUUGAACAGCGAAUUCAUUAAAACAUUGACAUUGUCCUUAGUUGAUACAAAAAUUACAACUCUCAAGUUUAGCUCCAAUUAUUUGUGUAGUGAUGGUCUGAAAUAUCUAUCUCAGUUUCUAAAGGACACUCAGAUUACCUCAAUUGAUGUUAGCAAUUUUGGUUCAGAAGACAACACCGCAGUGUCAAUGUUUUUUAAUAGUUUGGUUGGCACGAAAAUAAUCUCACUCAGUCUGACUUAUUGUCAUGAAAACAUGCCGACUCUUGAUAGUUUGGCAAACGUUCUGAAAGAUACUCCCUUAACUAGUCUUAAGAUAAGUGUUACUAGUCCUAUGAUUGAUGAUGAUGAUAAUAAUUGGAUGAGUUCCGUUGCCCAGUGCUUGGCUGAUUCAAAUAUAACUUCAUUAUACUUGGAUGGAUUGUCGGGUAGUGAUAUUAAAUGUCUAGCAGAAGUUUUAAUGUCUACAAAAACCACGUCUAUCGAUAUUAGAGGAAUUGAGCAUCACCAUGAUAGCUUGAAGUUGCUUAAAGUGUGUUUACUGAAUGCGAAUAUUACACAUUUAUGUUGGAAGUGUGAUUCAAUAAUAUUAUCGGAUGAUCUUGAGAACACAGAUAAUACUUAUGAGAACAGCUUUGGUAAAUUGCUGCAAAACUCACAAGUCACCUCAAUUGACCUAUCUGACAAUGAUAUGUAUGGCGGAAGCAUGAGACUAUUAGCACCUUCAAUGGUGUAUUCAAAAUUAUCAAGUCUCAACUUGAGUAAUAAUUGUUUGGGCCCAGAUGGUAUCCAGUCUUUAGUUUCAGUUCUUGGAUCUACUCAGAUUACAUCACUGAGUCUUGCUAGAAAUUAUUUGGAUUGUGAUAGCAUAAUGAACCUUGUCAUGAGUUUGCCAAAAACAAAAAUAACAUUCCUCAAUAUCAGUAUCAACACCAUUUGUUGUAGUGCUUUUUAUUUGGCUUCUGUUCUGGAGAAAACUAAAUUAACUUCUCUUGAUCUUAGUAAUGGAUAUUUUUGUGGAGAUAAUGCUCAUCUUAAUGUCUCUAAGAGUUCGCAUUUCAGUGAUAAUUCACUUAAUUUGAGUGGAUUUAGAUUAUGUUCUUUUAAAAUAUUUUCUUUGUGUAAACAGCUGAGUGUAGUCAAUAUCACCUCUCUGAACCUUAGCAAUGUAUGCAUGAAUUGCGAUAGCAUGAACUAUCUCUCACUUGGCUUGGCAGGAUCACAAAUUGAUUCACUUGAUUUAAGUUGGAACUCAAUAGGUUGGGCUGGUGCAUUGCAUUUGGCUAGAAAUCUUGUAUCCACUAAAAUUUCAAAAUUAACACUAGAAAAAAAUAACAUUAAUUGUAAAGGUUUAAAGUAUUUGGCACAAGGUUUAUUAGGAUCUCACGUAACAUCACUGAACGUGUCGUCCAAUUGCAUUGGAGACGAAGGUGUUAGAUACUUAGCUAAACAUCUUGUUGAUACUCAAAUAUCUCAUCUCUACCUUUUCAGUAACAAUAUAACUUGCAGAGGAGCUUUUUAUCUGUCUCAAGUGUUGGCUCAGAUUUUCUGGUUGAAUGUUUCAAGUAAUAGAAUUGGUUGUGAUGGCGUCAAGUAUUUGGCGCAUGGACUUCGUGGGUCCCGAAUGUGGUUACUCAAUCUAGCUUCCAAUUUAAUAGGAGAUGAAGAGGUCGAGUAUCUAUCUGAGUACCUUAAAAUCACAACUACUCAAAUGGAUGAACUUGAUUUACGUGGCAAUCAAAUCUCGCCCCAAGUGGCUCACCAGGUAUGCACAAGUGUUCUACAAUGUAAUCAUAAUACUACUGUUAUAGUGGACUUUAAAAACAUUAUGGAGAAUCCACCAAUGAACCAAGAUGUGCCAUUUUCAUCUCAAUGGAAAACAUAUUUCAACAACGAUGAACGUUUGAAUCUUUUCAGAUAUCCAGGAUGCUCUAUUGAAAUCAAUCAUGCAUUCUGGCACAAUAAGAAAAUAGAAAAUCUCAUAAAAUUUGCCAACUAUCGUAAAACUGGUAUCAGUAAUCUUAUACUACUAGAAAUUUCAUCUCAGUUUUCUGGUUUAUUUGAUAAUAUUUAUAUUACUGAAAUUGAAGUCAAUGGUAAUUUUGGAAACUCUUCUAUUGUUCCAAUAUUAUUUCAGAAAAGCAAAGUUUUGGGGAUUGAAAUUAAAAACUGCCGAAAAAGUACUCUAGAAUUAGUUACACAAUUAACUGUGAUUUCAGUCCAGCUCAGCUAUAUAGAAGAGGAGAUCAUUUUAAGAGAUCUCAGUAAAAUAAUUGAUGGACGCAAAAGCACUUUCUGUAACAUAAUGUAUCUUGAUCUAAGAAAUAAUAACUUGGGAGAAAGCGAAAAUGGGAUUGAAUAUUUAGCAAAAACUUUAGCAGAUUCUCUUGUAAUAUCUUUGAAUUUGAGCCAUAAUAAAUUAGUGGAAGAAGAUAUGUCAUUACUUGCCCAAGUCCUUCCCCAAACCAGAAUCAAUUACAUUGAUCUCUAUGCAAAUAAUAUAAAAUACAUGGGAUUCAAAUGUCUAAUGGAUGUUGUUGAAAAAACAAGGAUUUGUUGGAUUUCACUCGCAGAAAAUGGCAUAGAAAAUGGACUGGUUGAAAACAUUAAUUUAUCUCCAUACAUUGUACCACGAAAUGAUACUCCAAUCGAAUUCCAAAUACGAUACCUGUUCAAACAUUUGGUAUCGUUCAACACUGACAAUCAAUUGGAAUUUAUUGUUCCUGGAGACGAAUCAAUGUUGUCUAUCAUUCAUUAUCCUCUUUUAAUUAAACACUUGUUGGAGACUCCUAGCCUCAAAAUUCAUGUCUAUGAUAUUUUCUACAUGUUAACUAGAAGACAUGACAUUCAUAUUUUUAAUAAAACUGAUGAUUUCAUCCAAGAAAUAAUUGAAAGGUUUUUGUCAUUUUUCUUGAAUAAUUUGCCAAAGCUUGUAGAGAGAUUCGGUUAUGAGAGUUUUGUGGAUCUCGUCAAGGAGUGCGAGGAUUUAGGUUUGAUUGAGAUUGUUAGAGAUCUACUUGUGCAUAGACCUCUAUAUUUCGUGAAUAAUGAGCAGACUAUUCUGCACCCAUUCAUCUACAAAAUGCUACAUAAAUAUGGCAUGACAAUAUACCAUAAAGACAUUGAACCUAAUAAGAAACAACAGAUAAUUUCUUUCUUUGAAAAUCAUUUAGAUCUUUAUUGUGCACAAGAAAUUAUCAAAAUAUUAAACUGUUACUAGUUUCUUUAGCUGUAAUACAGUUACCACAGUUUGGCCCGGUUGCACAAAAGCCGGUUAAAUUUUAACUGUGAUUAAUGCCACGAGAACCAUCAGUUCUCGUGGAAUUAAUCACCUCAUUUCGUCAUAUCUUAGAUAUGCCUGUAAUUUAGCCUGUAAUUUUGUGAUUGUAUUUAAUUGAUUGGUUCUCGUGGAAUCAAUCACAGAUAAAAUUUAACCGGCUUCGAAAAGACGGCUUCUCUGAUUGGUUCUCGUGGAAUUAAUCACGGUUAAAAUUUAACCGGCUUUUGUGCAACCGGCACUUUAUAUUUUAAUCAUUCACUAAUGAAUUGAUCUUUUUUAUCUCUGUUCAUUUUUAUUGACUGUAUGUAAGUGCAUUAUCAAUAACUUACUAUAAUAUUAUCAACCAGUUACUGUUAUGUAUGAGAAAUAAGAUUGUUUAGCUGUAAGAAUUAAGCAUUGUGGAAUAAGAUUAAUAUUAUUAAGUAUUACUCAACUAGUAAUUUGAUAAUAUAGAUUAUUUUAUUAUAUAAUCCAAACUGUAAAUUUAUACUGUAUAAUAUAGUGUAGAUAUAAAAACUCUACUUAAGAGUAGACGUACGUUUAUAAUUUGCAAUGAAUUGUUAAUAAACAUUGUUACAAUUUUUUUUAGUAUCUGUGCAUUACUAUUCGGAAAGUUAUAAAAUUCGUUUUUUAGAAUAAAAAUUGUGUAUUGUGGACUUGAAUUCACUUGACCGUGUUAUGAAGUUUAAAAAGUACUAAGUUGUAGCUUUCGAAGAUCAAAUAUACCGGCUUAUUCCAGUAGCCUUUAUUCCAUAUUCCAAGUAAUAAUACAGUUCGGUAGAUUAUUACUUUUUUGCCAAGUUAUUAUUAAUCACCAAGAGAGGUAUUUCUAUUGAACGUUGUGCAUUGACGCAAUUGAUGAUACAGCAUAUUCCUAUAACAGGUCUCUUUGAUUGAAUAGGAAUGAAUCAGUUGGUAACAUAGAAUAUAGUUUUUGAAUCCUUGUUAGACUUUCAAUCGCCUAUAAUAAAAGCGAUAUUAUGAAUUCAUUCACAAAAUAUUUAUUAUUAGCUCUGGGGACAGUAGACCUAGCGCUCUGUAAGUUACAUUGACCUGUAGUUAUGUAUUUCAAAAAAAAAAUAAUUUUAUGUCUAGUAAAAAUCCUAAUUAUGGAAUAUAUUAAUUGUAGCACAAAGAGCAGAAAAAUUAAAAUUGAAAACUCAGACUAUAGAAAUCACUAUGGAAGAGUUGUUAUCAAUAAUGAAUUAUUAUCAAUGAUUAAGCAUGAGUCUCAAGUAAAGCGGGUCAUCCAUCCAGGUGAACACAUGAUCCAUUCAGGAACAUAUUAUUCCUGCAAUGUUCAUCUUCCAUGUGUUUAAAAAUUACUUAAUAGAUUUAUUUUUCUAGUUUUCUAUUACAUUAUCUAUAGCCUACGAAAUCAUUGAUACAAAUGAAUGUUUUGUUCUUCCAAUAGAAUGCUAUUUUACUGGGCUUCAAAUUAUCAUAUUGUAGUUAUUUGUAAUAGGCAUAAAAACAAUAGAAUCAUUAACAACAUAAACUGCAUUAUCAAAAAUUCUUGAUUUUCACCCCUUAAUAUCCGCCAGUUUUGGUGGGGGAGGGAUUUUUCCGUUAAUGUCACCGACAACCAUUGGGCUGGUUAGUCUUUCCAUUGUCCACCAACUACAGUAUGGACCCGCCGCAACCUAUGUCCCGGACUGGCAACCGGCUACUGUAAAAACUCUACUUUUUGUAGGUUAUGUUACUACAGUUGCCGGCUCUAUAUGUGUGAAGUUACAACAUAACAACCUUGUUUUUACGGUACACGGAUCCCCCCCUUAACUUUGAAAUAUUUUCUUACAGAAAAUAUUCCUAAGUAGGUACAGUAAAUAUAUAAACUUGACUCAUCACAUUUUCCUUUUAUACACAAACUCAACUCAAUCCAUCUCUUCAAAUAUGAAUGUGCACUUGAGACUGAGCAAUGCAAAAAAUUGACUGCUUUAAAUACUCUAUUUACAGUUUAUCUUUAUAACAUACAUUUCAUUAUAUCUGUACAUUAAUUACAGUACAUUGAAAUCCAACCACUCAUUCUAUUUACAUUCUCUCACUUCAAGGGUUCAAUGUGAAAAGCCUUUGUUCUUCUUCUACUCUCAGCUGCAACAGUUUCAUUCCCUUGUAACUGCAUUGGUAGUAUUUCUACAUGGCCUGAAGCCAAAUUGUUUUUUAGUAAAAAUACCAAAGCUUUCAAAAUGAUUUGAUAUCUGGUCUUGCAUUAUGGCCUCAAAUACUUUGAAUAUUACAGGCUCUGUGCUGAUGGAAGUGAGGAGAAAUACUAACGAG